GGGUGCUACCAUGGCAGUCGAGCGAUGAACCCCUUCGGGGGUGGAUUAGCGGCGGACGGGUGAGUAACACGUGGGUAACCUGCCUCAAAGUGGGGGAUAGCCUUCCGAAAGGAAGAUUAAUACCGCAUAAAGCCAAGUUUCACAUGGAAUUUGGAUGAAAGGAGUAAUUCGCUUUGAGAUGGACCCGCGGCGCAUUAGUUAGUUGGUGGGGUAAUGGCCUACCAAGACAGCGAUGCGUAGCCGACCUGAGAGGGUGAUCGGCCACAUUGGAACUGAGAUACGGUCCAGACUCCUACGGGAGGCAGCAGUGGGGAAUAUUGCACAAUGGGCGAAAGCCUGAUGCAGCAACGCCGCGUGAGUGAUGAAGGUCUUCGGAUUGUAAAGCUCUGUCUUUUGGGACGAUAAUGACGGUACCAAAGGAGGAAGCCACGGCUAACUACGUGCCAGCAGCCGCGGUAAUACGUAGGUGGCGAGCGUUGUCCGGAUUUACUGGGCGUAAAGGGUGCGUAGGCGGAUGUUUAAGUGAGAUGUGAAAUACCCGGGCUUAACUUGGGUGCUGCAUUUCAAACUGGAUAUCUAGAGUGCAGGAGAGGAGAAUGGAAUUCCUAGUGUAGCGGUGAAAUGCGUAGAGAUUAGGAAGAACACCAGUGGCGAAGGCGAUUCUCUGGACUGUAACUGACGCUGAGGCACGAAAGCGUGGGUAGCAAACAGGAUUAGAUACCCUGGUAGUCCACGCCGUAAACGAUGAGUACUAGGUGUAGGAGGUAUCGACCCCUUCUGUGCCGCAGUAAACACAUUAAGUACUCCGCCUGGGAAGUACGAUCGCAAGAUUAAAACUCAAAGGAAUUGACGGGGGCCCGCACAAGCAGCGGAGCAUGUGGUUUAAUUCGAAGCAACGCGAAGAACCUUACCUGGACUUGACA
rnacentral:rRNA from 1 species